rnacentral:rRNA from 1 species
CCCUUAGAUGUUCUGGGCAGCACGCGCGCUACAAUGGUCUUCGCAAACGGAUGCAUUCUCGAAGGAGAAUGCCAAUCUUGGAAUCUAUGCCUUGGUAGGGACAGUUGCUUGCAAUUUUUCGACUCGAACCAGGAAUUCCUUGUAAUCGUGAUUCAUCACAUCACGAUGAAUACGUCCCUGCCCUUUGUACACACCGCCCGUCGCUCCUACCGAUCGAAGAGUUAGGUGAAUUGUUUUGAUCGAUAAGAUUUGACUAUGGUCAACUCUCGUUGUGAAAUUCUGUGAAUCUGACUGUUUAGAGGAAGGAAAAGUCGUAACA